rnacentral:tRNA from 1 species
GACAUCUUAACUAUACAAGUAUAUACUUUGAAAGUAUAAAAAAGGGCAACCUAUUUGUCU